rnacentral:rRNA from 1 species
ACGAGAAUCACUGGAAGGAGUUUUCGGACAACGGAAGGUGAGGACAGUGGCGGACGGGUGAGUAACGCGUGAGGAACCUGCCUUUCAGAGGGGGACAACAGUUGGAAACGACUGCUAAUACCGCAUGACACAUAGAGAUCGCAUGGUUUUUAUGUCAAAGAUUUAUCGCUGAAAGAUGGCCUCGCGUCUGAUUAGCUAGUUGGUGAGGUAACGGCCCACCAAGGCGACGAUCAGUAGCCGGACUGAGAGGUUGACCGGCCACAUUGGGACUGAGAUACGGCCCAGACUCCUACGGGAGGCAGCAGUGGGGAAUAUUGGGCAAUGGGCGCAAGCCUGACCCAGCAACGCCGCGUGAAGGAAGAAGGCUUUCGGGUUGUAAACUUCUUUUGUCGGGGACGAGUAGAAGACGGUACCUGGCGAAUAAGCCACGGCUAACUACGUGCCAGCAGCCGCGGUAAUACGUAGGUGGCAAGCGUUGUCCGGAUUUACUGGGUGUAAAGGGCGUGUAGCCGGGAAGGCAAGUCAGAUGUGAAAUCCACGGGCUUAACUCGUGAACUGCAUUUGAAACUACUUUUCUUGAGUAUCGGAGAGGCAAUCGGAAUUCCUAGUGUAGCGGUGAAAUGCGUAGAUAUUAGGAGGAACACCAGUGGCGAAGGCGGAUUGCUGGACGA